GAUUAUAUUUCUGUGGAUGAAAUAAUUUUUCUAUAUUUCAUAUGUUCUUGUGUGUGUGAGCUUCUGGAGGGUUCAUCUGUGGUUAAUCAGCCUGAAUUUGGGAUCACUCACUUGAACCAGCUCGAAAUUGCCUUUCCAACCUCAGGUGGACCAAACAGGAAGGAAAGGCUGGGGAGCUACAUUGAGCAGCAGUGAGGGGCUUCUUGUCCAGACUGACACAUUUGUUUUAAGAUUUCUUAGAUUUUUUGAAAUAAACCUGUUUCUUAACCAAA